rnacentral:snRNA from 1 species
GCCACGAUCCACUGAGAUUCAGCCCU